GGGUUGGAACAAUUCCAACUCUUCUCAUUCGGGUUCACUGAUCACCAAGUGAAUGCCUUUGAGUCUCACAAUCCACCAGUGACACCUAGCAGCAUGUAGUGACAACCCAGCAGAAUGGAAUGAUGAACCUCUAGAUGUAGUUAGUGUAUGAUACAGUCCCUCUAUCGUGGAUCCCGACAAGACGGAGGUUAUGGAUAACUCGUCAAAC
rnacentral:lncRNA from 1 species